GACGAACGCUGGCGGCGUGCUUAACACAUGCAAGUCGAACGGUAAGGCCCUUCGGGGUACACGAGUGGCGAACGGGUGAGUAACACGUGGGUGAUCUGCCCUGCACUUCGGGAUAAGCCUGAGAAACUGGGUCUAAUACCGGAUAGGACUCCUGGCUUCAUGGGUGGGGGUGGAAAGCUUUUGCGGUGUGGGAUGGGCCCGCGGCCUAUCAGCUUGUUGGUGGGGUAACGGCCUACCAAGGCGACGACGGGUAGCCGGCCUGAGAGGGUGACCGGUCACACUGGGACUGAGAUACGGCCCAGACUCCUACGGGAGGCAGCAGUGGGGAAUAUUGCACAAUGGGCGCAAGCCUGAUGCAGCGACGCCGCGUGAGGGAUGACGGCCUUCGGGUUGUAAACCUCUUUCAGCUAUGACGAAGCGCAAGUGACGGUAGUAGCAGAAGAAGGACCGGCCAACUACGUGCCAGCCGCCGCGGUAA
rnacentral:rRNA from 1 species